UACGUAGGGGGCUAGCGUUGUCCGGAUUUAUUGGGCGUAAAGAGCUCGUAGGCGGUUUGUUGCGUCGGCCGUGAAAACCUGCAGCUUAACUGUGGGCCUGCGGCCGAUACGGGCAGACUUGAGUUCGGUAGGGGAGACUGGAAUUCCUGGUGUAGCGGUGAAAUGCGCAGAUAUCAGGAGGAACACCGGUGGCGAAGGCGGGUCCUGCUGGCCGA
rnacentral:rRNA from 1 species